rnacentral:sRNA from 16 species
CGAUCCGGGAUGCAAAUCCCGGGAUAAUAAUAAUGAUGAAAUUCCUCUUUGACGGGCCAAUAGCAAUAUUGGCCAUUUUUUU